rnacentral:tRNA from 1 species
GGAGGUUUGGCAGAGUUGGUCUAUUGCACCGGUCUUGAAAACCGGCAGGCGGCAACGUCUCAAAGGUUCGAAAUCGCCUUAAGCGAGUGCAGAAGCCAAGCUUGCUUGGGUUAUGCCGAGUGUCUGGCGAUUCUCAUAGAAAUCCUUUAGCCUCCG